AUGGUGAUCCUUUGUGCUGGCCAACCUGCUCCUUCGGUUCAUUCUGAAUUUCUGUCUCGAUGGUUAUCACUCAACAGCCCCAAAAUGCCUUACGCUCUGAACUCAACCGCAAGGAAAAUCAGAAAGCAAAACAGACAUCGGCGGAUGAUCACUUUUGCAAAAAGUUCUUCAUUACAAGAUUCCGUGGCAUCUGUAAAGCCAUCUCGUCUUCUGCCCACGGUGGAACCAAAAACAUUUCCCAAUAGUGUCCCUGAUGAGAUACUAUCGAAACUCAGAUUGGAAGAAUCUGAUGCCUUUUACAUACUAGAGCUGUGCACAAGUAGAGAACUUAGUUCCUCUUUGCUAGAUAAGAACUCAGCGAUCUUAAUCUGCUUAAUUGAUGUCGAUGGUGACUCCUUGUUACAAAGAGUACCAGCAAUCUAUGGUGACCAACCUUCACAUGGCACCAAGGCAUCACAAUUCCUCCCCUUUCAAAGUGGUUCAGUUGAUAUCAUCACCUUUAAAGGUCCCAAAUUGCAGACAAUCAAAGAAAUCUGGAUCGGCCUUGAAUCAGGUUCAUGGAGAUUAGAUGGUUUAAGUUUGAAAGUGAUCCAUGGAGCACGGAAUACACCUGAAGAUCUUGAGGGAACACUUGGGCUCAAGUUCAGCGGUUUACAGUACACGUUCGACAAGCUCGGUGCGCUGCUUGGUGAGGAUGGAGCUUCAGUAGUGGAAGCAAGGCCAAUUGCUGUGACUGACUUCUCAGGAAUUAGCAUUUCUGAUCUUCAAGAGGGGCAGUUAUCCUCAGCAAGGACAGACUCGAGCAUUAAGGAAUUGAAGGAAGAUGGACUGAGAGAGUAUGCUGAUCUCAAGCAAUCCUUGCUGCUUUACGACAUAUCUAUUGUUAUAACAGGUUUCUCUGCCUUCACUCUGGCUUCGAAUGAUGGAGCCGCCUACUCAUUCCUCGUCGGCGGGAUUGGAGGGUUCCUGUAUCUAUUGCUGCUCCAAAGAUCUGUGGACGGGUUACCGGCAAUUAGUUCUCCUUCAGAAGCGAGCAGUUCAGAGCCCAGUAUGAACUUCAGCGGCGUAAGAAGGCCAUGGUUGAUAUUGUCGAUUGUAAUGGUUGCUGGGGCUGUUGCACUGAAGUACGGUGCUGGUGGUGACAGCUUCGAGCUGACUCCGACUGAGCUAUUUGUUGGCGCCGCAGGGUUCUUGGCGAACAAGGUUGCUGUUCUUCUGGCAGCAUUCAAACCCUUGCAAAGUAAUUUGGAGAGCGACGAUAGAUCUGUGGACUGA
rnacentral:rRNA from 1 species